ensembl:lncRNA MALINC1 mitosis associated long intergenic non-coding RNA 1
GGAAGCGUGGGGUUGCUGCCCAGCCUCCCACGCAGUGUAAUAUGUUGAAGCCGGGCCCCUUUGAGGGAAUGCGACUUCCUUGGGCCGAGGGGGAAAGGGUAAAAGUUAAUUUUCAUAAAAUGCUAUGCAAGGGCUAAAUGUGAAAUUAUAAAAUGUCCUUUAAGACAGUCUUCUUGAAAUCGUAUCAAGUUUGACAAGAUUUUUGGUGCACGGUAACGCUUUUGCUCGCUUUCUACGCUGUCACGUCUCCAUCCUGCAACACUGAAUACGUAGAUGGAACGUGGAUCAGCUAAUAACUGCAGCAAAAUAAAAACUGCAUUUAUCAUCUUUAUCAUUAUUUAAAUAGACCUCCGAGAAGUCAAACUGUGAUUUAGGAAAACUUAAUCAUUGCCUCAACCUAUUUAACUAUUUUGUUUUGAAGUUACUUUGCAAAUAUACCACAAAAUCCCUCUUUGUUAGGCAGUGGUAGACUUUUAAACUCACUUGUUAGAGAAUCUUUCCCAGAAGCAUAUCUAGUUGAGCCUGCGAGGCAAGUAGGACUAAGGUAUAAUUACUCCCAUUUUACAGAUGAAAAUUUAGUUAUCAAAAUGUAAGUCAGUUGUUCAGCAUUGUGAGGAGUCUAUCACUGAUAAAGGGAAAACUCUAAGGUCUAUUAUUGCCUGCUUUAUUCACUAAACCAGAAAUCUCUCAAUUGUUUUUUUCCAAGUAUCUUUUGCUGCCUCUUACGUAUUGUAGGCAGUGCCUGAUGGCUGAGAAGAAUCGCAGAGGACUAGAAAAGGUUUGAGUCUGAAAUUAUCUGGCACAGAGGAUUAAAGCUCAGAAAUAAGUGAUUGCGAAACAGUUCAACUUCCCUGUUAAUGACAACAACAACAGCAACACGCUUAUUAAUUCCUAGCUGGAGCAUCAAGCUUAUGAAGAUUUCCAAGACUUUAUUGUUGACCCUUGUUGAAGAGAACUCUACUUGGCUUCUUUCCUGGCUUUCCUAAAUUGUUCACAUACAAGAUAAACUACCGUCAUUCAGACUUACAGAAGUGAGAAGACAAGCUGAACCAAAUGUAAAAUGGUAGCAAUUUACAGGUAAUUCUGUAUCUUAAUUUCUCCCACAUUUUUAGGGUAAAAAAUUGUGAUAUAUGGGGGUUAUUUGGAUCAAGUGUUUUCUAAGUAGAACUUUGUCAUAAUUAAUUUUAUGUAUUUAUAGUAGUUCUCCCUGUGUCCCUUUAUCCAAGCAACACAAUACAAUUGAAUUUAUAUGCAUUUCAAAAUAGACUCCAUUUGAUUUACCGUGUAAAUACAACCACCAAGGAAUAUA